rnacentral:rRNA from 1 species
GAGUUUGAUCCUGGCUCAGAUUGAACGCUGGCGGCAUGCCUUACACAUGCAAGUCGAACGGUAACAGGGAGCUUGCUCCGCUGACGAGUGGCGAACGGGUGAGUAAUACAUCGGAACGUACCAUUCAGUGGGGGAUAACGUAGCGAAAGUUACGCUAAUACCGCAUAUUCUCUCCGGAGGAAAGCAGGGGAUCGCAAGACCUUGCGCUGAUUGAGCGGCCGAUAUCAGAUUAGCUAGUUGGUGAGGUAAAAGCUCACCAAGGCAACGAUCUGUAGCGGGUCUGAGAGGAUGAUCCACCACACUGGAACUGAGACACGGUCCAGACUCCUACGGGAGGCAGCAGUGGGGAAUUUUGGACAAUGGGGGCAACCCUGAUCCAGCCAUGCCGCGUGAGUGAAGAAGGCCUUCGGGUUGUAAAGCUCUUUCAGCCGGGAAGAAAACGCAUGGGUUAAUACCCUGUGUGGAUGACGGUACCGGAAUAAGAAGCACCGGCUAACUACGUGCCAGCAGCCGCGGUAAUACGUAGGGUGCGAGCGUUAAUCGGAAUUACUGGGCGUAAAGCGUGCGCAGGCGGUUUGGUAAGACAGGCGUGAAAUCCCCGGGCCUAACCUGGGAACUGCGUUUGUGACUGCCAGGCUAGAGUACGGCAGAGGGGGGUGGAAUUCCACGUGUAGCAGUGAAAUGCGUAGAGAUGUGGAGGAACACCAAUGGCGAAGGCAGCCCCCUGGGUCGAUACUGACGCUCAUGCACGAAAGCGUGGGUAGCAAACAGGAUUAGAUACCCUGGUAGUCCACGCCCUAAACGAUGUCAACUAGGUGUUGGGAGGGUAAAACCUUUUAGUACCGUAGCUAACGCGAGAAGUUGACCGCCUGGGGAGUACGGCCGCAAGGUUAAAACUCAAAGGAAUUGACGGGGACCCGCACAAGCGGUGGAUGAUGUGGAUUAAUUCGAUGCAACGCGAAAAACCUUACCUACCCUUGACAUGUCAGGAACUUGCCAGAGAUGGCUUGGUGCCCGAAAGGGAACCUGAACACAGGUGCUGCAUGGCUGUCGUCAGCUCGUGUCGUGAGAUGUUGGGUUAAGUCCCGCAACGAGCGCAACCCUUGUCGUUAAUUGCCAUCAUUUAGUUGGGCACUUUAACGAGACUGCCGGUGACAAACCGGAGGAAGGUGGGGAUGACGUCAAGUCCUCAUGGCCCUUAUGGGUAGGGCUUCACACGUCAUACAAUGGUCGGUACAAAGGGUCGCCAACCCGCGAGGGGGAGCCAAUCCCAGAAAGCCGAUCGUAGUCCGGAUUGCG